GUCAAAAUGAAUGGAGGUAAACAAAUAAAUUUGUUAAAAAAAUUUAAUUGAAGAAGUGCGGAAAUGUAAUUUCUUAUAUGACAAAGAACACCUGACUACAGAAACCUUAGUGUCCUCAGUAUGCUACGAAACGGUGCUUGAGCGCUAAAAUUAAACUGUGAUGAACUGUAACAAUGAGGUGGCGCAGCUUCACAGACGGCUAUAGGCGCCACAAACAACAAUUGCUGCGAACAUCAGAUAUGUCGACCCUUCGUAUUUAUAAAAAUGCUACCCAGCUACAGCAUUUUUUGCGUACUUCUUUGAGUCAAAGCGGUUAAAACUGAAUACUCAUAGAGUUAAGAUAAAAUGCAGUGUGAAAACGUAUAGACACAAAUUGUGUUCGUAUAAGUAGCAGGUUUCCCAAUAAUUUUAAUAUAUCUUCUUAAUUUAUUGUGAUUGGGUGCACUUGAAGGAUGUUGAGAAGAUCUCGAUCCCGGGCGAAAUAUAUCCUAACAUCUAAGAGCAGAUACUCUUUUGUUUAAAUAACCUUGGCAGUAUUGUAUACCAAGAAGUUGGAGAAGUGUUUCCCAAAUAGUCUGUAUCCGUAGUUCACACAAUGACGGAAAACUCUUCUUUCGAAUGUCCAGAUUAGUUUCAACUGAUGGGUGCUAAUUUCUGGCUAUAUGGCACAGGUGACGGAAAGAGGAAGCGAAUGAUUUGUUUAUAGCAUCAUAGUAAAAGAGGAAGUCUCUCUUUUAUUAUCUAACUGAUAUAUGAUUUGUUACAUUUAAUACACUUUUAA